CAGUCGACGGAAAGGCCCUUCGGGGUACUCGAGUGGCGAACGGGUGAGUAACACGUGGGUGAUCUGCCCUGCACUUUGGGAUAAGCCUGGGAAACUGGGUCUAAUACCGAAUAUGAUCAUGCUCUUCAUGGGGUGUGGUGGAAAGCUUUUGCGGUGUGGGAUGGGCCCGCGGCCUAUCAGCUUGUUGGUGGGGUAAUGGCCUACCAAGGCGACGACGGGUAGCCGGCCUGAGAGGGUGUCCGGCCACACUGGGACUGAGAUACGGCCCAGACUCCUACGGGAGGCAGCAGUGGGGAAUAUUGCACAAUGGGCGCAAGCCUGAUGCAGCGACGCCGCGUGAGGGAUGACGGCCUUCGGGUUGUAAACCUCUUUCAGCAGGGACGAAGCGCAAGUGACGGUACCUGCAGAAGAAGCACCGGCCAACUACGUGCCAGCAGCCGCGGUAAUACGUAGGGUGCGAGCGUUGUCCGGAAUUACUGGGCGUAAAGAGCUCGUAGGUGGUUUGUCGCGUUGUUCGUGAAAACUCACAGCUUAACUGUGGGCGUGCGGGCGAUACGGGCAGACUGGAGUACUGCAGGGGAGACUGGAAUUCCUGGUGUAGCGGUGGAAUGCGCAGAUAUCAGGAGGAACACCGGUGGCGAAGGCGGGUCUCUGGGCAGUAACUGACGCUGAGGAGCGAAAGCGUGGGGAGCGAACAGGAUUAGAUACCCUGGUAGUCCACGCCGUAAACGGUGGGUACUAGGUGUGG
rnacentral:rRNA from 1 species